ACUCCUUUUCACCACUUAGGUGGACAGGGAAACGGUUUAUUCUGCCAAGGGAUAAGACUAUAUCCUAUCAGCUAGUUGGUGGUGUAAGAGACUACCAAGGCUAUGACGGGUAACUGGUCUGAGAGGAUGAUCAGUCACACUGGAACUGAGACACGGUCCAGACUCCUACGGGAGGCAGCAGUGGGGAAUAUUGGGCAAUGGAGGCAACUCUGACCCAGCAACGCCGCGUGGAGGAUGACGCAUUUCGGUGUGUAAACUCCUUUUUUGUGGGAAGAUAAUGACGGUACCAUAAGAAUAAGCAUCGGCUAACUCCGUGCCAGCAGCCGCGGUAAUACGGAGGAUGCAAGCGUUACUCGGAAUCACUGGGCGUAAAGCGCAUGUAGGCGGGUAGUAAAGUCAGAAGUGAAAGCCUACGGCUUAACCGUAGAACUGCUUCUGAAACUCACUACCUAGAGUCUGGGAGGGGAGAAUGGAAUUAGUAGUGUAGGGGUAAAAUCCGUAGAGAUUACUAGGAAUACCAAAAGCGAAGGCGAUUCUCUGGAACAGUACUGACGCUGAGAUGCGAAAGCGUGGGGAGCAAACAGGAUUAGAUACCCUGGUAGUCCACGCCCUAAACGAUGAAUGUUUAGUCGUUGGUGUCCUAGUGACAUCAGUGAUGCAGUUAACACAUUAAACAUUCCGCCUGGGGAGUACGGUCGCAAGAUUAAAACUCAAAGGAAUAGACGGGGACCCGCACAAGUGGUGGAGCAUGUGGUUUAAUUCGAAGAUACGCGAAGAACCUUACCUAGCCUUGACAUAUAUCGGAAUUCUCCAGAAAUGGAUCAAGUGCCUUCGGGAGCCGAUAUACAGGUGCUGCACGGCUGUCGUCAGCUCGUGUCGUGAGAUGUUGGGUUAAGUCCCGCAACGAGCGCAAGCCUCGUCCUUAGUUGCUAACGGUUCGGCCGAGGACUCUAAGGAGACUGACUUCGCAGGAGGAGGAAGGUGAGGACGACAUCAAGUCAUCAUGGCCCUUACGGCUAGGGCAACACACGAUGCUACA
rnacentral:rRNA from 1 species